AAGGCGAUGGAGUUCGCCGGAACCGUUCGUUUGAUCGAACUGAUGACUCCUACCAG
rnacentral:ncRNA from 1 species